CACAGCUGGGAAACAAGAGAGCUGGCAUUCAAAUCCACGCACUCCAGCUUCAGUGCUCGAACCUCAGAGUGCUCUCCAUGAAGAGCAUGUUUCCUUUCCCUCAGUAGAGGGAGAGAGCGCUAGAUGACACAACUGUUAAAACCGUAUAAUAACCACGUGAAUACCUUGCUAGGAUGCCCUGCAGUCUUUGGAAGGACAGGGGCAAGUGAAGAAACCUGAAGCUGAAGCUCCAUUAGCUUUGUGGCGAGUCAACCCUGGUCAAGGUUGGAGGUGGGGCUCAGAAGAACUAAACCAACAGAUACUUCCAGCUGUACACACUCAUCCCAGCCAGCGACACCCACUCUUCAGGUCCAUGGUCCCAGGCCGCAGCAAAGUUCUGAGACUAAGGUGAGAAUAAGGUGAAAUUAUGCACAUUUUCUGUUUGUGUGUAGAGAAAGAGAGAAACAACUUCCUCAACCCGAGAUGAGGUUGUCUCUGGGCGACUAGCCAUCUGGUUCACCAAAACAAGAUUUUCUCUGAUUUUGCAUGUAAGCUGUUUUUGUUUGUCUUUUUUACCACUUUGGUCCUAAAGGGUUUAUUUUCUGUUACCCACUCCCCACAGAACCUCUGCAUUCUGGGAUGGAAUGUAGGGUGAUGGAAUCCUUAGAGGUGGGUGAGAGGAAUCCCACUGGGCCCCCCAGCAUGGCCUGGGGCCUUCCUGGGCUUGGCAGUGGUUAAGAGUGUGAGCACCAGAACCAAACAGCUGGGCUCUGACACUGACUCCCUCCAACCAUAGUCCCGGGACAAACUCACCCCUCCGUUCUUCCCAUUCUGUAUCAGUAGAGCAGAGGAAAAGUGAUGAGCAGCACGUGGGAGUUGUGGGAAUUGAGUCGUUGCCGCUCAAGUGCUUGUACAGGGCCUAGCACUUCGUAACUGCUCACUGCGGGAAAGGGAACAGGUUUAUUAAGGGUUUGAUGAACAGAACUGGAGGAAAUUGGGAGGGGGCAAGGGCCCUGUCCUUAUGCCAGGAACUCCUCCCUUCCUUUCUUCUCCAGGCCUCACUGGGAGCUGCACCCUCUGCUCCUCUGGCCUGGGAAAGAGCCAGAUGUCUUGUCUCCUGUUUCCCAUCAGAGAGGGUUUCCUCUGGCUCCAACGCCUUCCUUGCAGUGUAUGAGGCGGCUUUACCUGCCUCAAAGGUCAGCUAGCAAACACCUAGAGAGUAUUCUAGACAGACCCUGGCUGCAAUUCCCAGGCUUUCCCUGCUAAAUCUGGCAGAAUCUGCCCUGGGGUGUGCCAAAUGUCAAUCACAAGAAGGACAGGUCACACUGCUUCUUCCGAGAAGCCUCUCUAGAUUUCACCGCCCUGCCUUGAACUCUGCCCAUAUCCUGUGUCUCCUGUAACCCUGGGCUCAGCUUGUCCAAAAGCUGUUCCCUGCUAACCAUGGCUAGUGUGCUUCUCGAAUUGUGAGCCAAAAGCAAAUGUUCAAAAGCACAACCAGAGAUUUAUAUGGCAUAGGGGUGUAUUUUCCCAGAGAGCUAAAAAAAGAUUGUAAAAUCGUAAUUAUAUCCACAUUUUAUGCAUAAUUUUUGCAAUAUACUAACCAUAUUUUGAACAUGUUCAUUCAUUUACUUCUGCUACAAUUCAACAUGCAGUCACUCAACAGAUAUCUGUUGAGCACCUCCUAGGUACCAGACACCAUUCCAGGUAUUCAGAAUAUAUCCCUCGUGGGGCGCACAAUCUAAUAACAGAAGGAGAUGGAUAAUGAAAACUUCACAUCAUAAAUGUUAGAUGGUGAUAAGUGCUAUGGGGAGGAAACAAAGGGAGACAAAAGCAGAGCCCAAGAGAGAAGAUCCAGAAUGCAGGUGGAGGGUAGAGUGCAGGUUGCAAUUUAAAACAGGAGGAUCAGGGAAAGCCUCAUUGAUACACUAAGAUUUGAGCAAUGACUUGGAAAGGAGGUGAGGGAUGAGCCGCGUGGAAAUCAAGGAAAGGGCAUUCUGGGUACAGGGCCCUAAGGCGCGAACGUGCCUGGCAUGCAUCUGAACACAGCUUAAUUCUGGUGAGCAUCUGAUUGUGGCUUCUUUGGUCUUCCUUGGGCGUGCCUAAGGACUCCUAUCUUUGUCUCAUUUAUAUUAAGUUCAUGAGAUCUGUGCUUUCUACUCCAGCUUUCCACUCAUCUUUAUAAAACAGUAAGGACAAAAUUAAAUGAAAUGUGCAAAAUAACUGCACAAACUCUGUGCUGGGUGCCUGGUGACGCGGAACCGUCGGCUGGCACGCUGCGCCCCCACGUGGAAGCUUGCAAGGACUGUGUUCUGGACAAGGACCUCCUGAGGCACCCAUGCUGCAGUUCCCAGAGGCUUAAGGACGGCUGCGGGACGUGUGGGCGUCUGGGUUGAGAUGGAGAAAACAUAGCAUGCUGGAGCAGAAGGGAGAUUGAGGAGAAGAAUCUGGACCAGCAAAGAAAAAGAAUUCCAAUUUUCCUUCCCUCAAGGACAACCUGCCCAUAGAUAAGCGCCUUGAGACCAAAGCCCAUUAUGGUUGCUGCCAGGCAGCUUGGAGACACAGGAAUGGCCUCCCAACAUCCCUGACCUCGGUUUUUGAUACCUUUGUAAAUGAUAUCCCUAAUCUGUCUGCUCCUGAAAUCCCUACCUCGUUUUUAAAAUGUUUUCCUAAAA
rnacentral:lncRNA from 1 species